rnacentral:sRNA from 1 species
UAGUGCUGAUUUUGGUCCGCGUCAUCCG